UGCACAUAUUGUGAGCUCGAUGAGUAGGGCGGGACACGUGGUAUCCUGUCUGAAUAUGGGGGGACCAUCCUCCAAGGCUAAAUACUCCUGACUGACCGAUAGUGAACCAGUACCGUGAGGGAAAGGCGAAAAGAACCCCGGCGAGGGGAGUGAAAAAGAACCUGAAACCGUGUACGUACAAGCAGUGGGAGCCUCUUAAUGGGGUGACUGCGUACCUUUUGUAUAAUGGGUCAGCGACUUAUAUUCUGUAGCAAGGUUAACCGAAUAGGGGAGCCGAAGGGAAACCGAGUCUUAACUGGGCGUUAAGUUGCAGGGUAUAGACCCGAAACCCGGUGAUCUAGCCAUGGGCAGGUUGAAGGUUGGGUAACACUAACUGGAGGACCGAACCGACUAAUGUUGAAAAAUUAGCGGAUGACUUGUGGCUGGGGGUGAAAGGCCAAUCAAACCGGGAGAUAGCUGGUUCUCCCCGAAAGCUAUUUAGGUAGCGCCUCGUGAAUUCAUCUCCGGGGGUAGAGCACUGUUUCGGCAAGGGGGUCAUCCCGACUUACCAACCCGAUGCAAACUGCGAAUACCGGAGAAUGUUAUCACGGGAGACACACGGCGGGUGCUAACGUCCGUCGUGAAGAGGGAAACAACCCAGACCGCCAGCUAAGGUCCCAAAGUCAUGGUUAAGUGGGAAACGAUGUGGGAAGGCCCAGACAGCCAGGAUGUUGGCUUAGAAGCAGCCAUCAUUUAAAGAAAGCGUAAUAGCUCACUGGUCGAGUCGGCCUGCGCGGAAGAUGUAACGGGGCUAAACCAUGCACCGAAGCUGCGGCAGCGACACUAUGUGUUGUUGGGUAGGGGAGCGUUCUGUAAGCCUGUGAAGGUGUACUGUGAGGUAUGCUGGAGGUAUCAGAAGUGCGAAUGCUGACAUAAGUAACGAUAAAGCGGGUGAAAAGCCCGCUCGCCGGAAGACCAAGGGUUCCUGUCCAACGUUAAUCGGGGCAGGGUGAGUCGACCCCUAAGGCGAGGCCGAAAGGCGUAGUCGAUGGGAAACAGGUUAAUAUUCCUGUACUUGGUGUUACUGCGAAGGGGGGACGGAGAAGGCUAUGUUGGCCGGGCGACGGUUGUCCCGGUUUAAGCGUGUAGGCUGGUUUUCCAGGCAAAUCCGGAAAAUCAAGGCUGAGGCGUGAUGACGAGGCACUACGGUGCUGAAGCGACAAAUGCCCUGCUUCCAGGAAAAGCCUCUAAGCAUCAGGUAACAUCAAAUCGUACCCCAAACCGACACAGGUGGUCAGGUAGAGAAUACCAAGGCGCUUGAGAGAACUCGGGUGAAGGAACUAGGCAAAAUGGUGCCGUAACUUCGGGAGAAGGCACGCUGAUAUGUAGGUGAAGCGACUUGCUCGUGGAGCUGAAAUCAGUCGAAGAUACCAGCUGGCUGCAACUGUUUAUUAAAAACACAGCACUGUGCAAACACGAAAGUGGACGUAUACGGUGUGACGCCUGCCCGGUGCCGGAAGGUUAAUUGAUGGGGUUAGCGGUAACGCGAAGCUCUUGAUCGAAGCCCCGGUAAACGGCGGCCGUAACUAUAACGGUCCUAAGGUAGCGAAAUUCCUUGUCGGGUAAGUUCCGACCUGCACGAAUGGCGUAAUGAUGGCCAGGCUGUCUCCACCCGAGACUCAGUGAAAUUGAACUCGCUGUGAAGAUGCAGUGUACCCGCGGCAAGACGGAAAGACCCCGUGAACCUUUACUAUAGCUUGACACUGAACAUUGAGCCUUGAUGUGUAGGAUAGGUGGGAGGCUUUGAAGUGUGGACGCCAGUCUGCAUGGAGCCGACCUUGAAAUACCACCCUUUAAUGUUUGAUGUUCUAACGUGGGCCCCUUACCGGGGUUGCGGACAGUGUCUGGUGGGUAGUUUGACUGGGGCGGUCUCCUCCUAAAGAGUAACGGAGGAGCACGAAGGUUGGCUAAUCCUGGUCGGACAUCAGGAGGUUAGUGCAAUGGCAUAAGCCAGCUUGACUGCGAGCGUGACGGCGCGAGCAGGUGCGAAAGCAGGUCAUAGUGAUCCGGUGGUUCUGAAUGGAAGGGCCAUCGCUCAACGGAUAAAAGGUACUCCGGGGAUAACAGGCUGAUACCGCCCAAGAGUUCAUAUCGACGGCGGUGUUUGGCACCUCGAUGUCGGCUCAUCACAUCCUGGGGCUGAAGUAGGUCCCAAGGGUAUGGCUGUUCGCCAUUUAAAGUGGUACGCGAGCUGGGUUUAGAACGUCGUGAGACAGUUCGGUCCCUAUCUGCCGUGGGCGCUGGAGAACUGAGGGGGGCUGCUCCUAGUACGAGAGGACCGGAGUGGACGCAUCACUGGUGUUCGGGUUGUCAUGCCAAUGGCACUGCCCGGUAGCUAAAUGCGGAAGAGAUAAGUGCUGAAAGCAUCUAAGCACGAAACUUGCCCCGAGAUGAGUUCUCCCUGACUCCUUGAGAGUCCUGAAGGAACGUUGAAGACGACGACGUUGAUAGGCCGGGUGUGUAAGCGCAGCGAUGCGUUGAGCUAACCGGUACUAAUGAACCGUGAGGCUUAACCUU
rnacentral:rRNA from 1 species